UUUAUUGGAGAGUUUGAUCCUGGCUCAGGACGAACGCUGGCGGCGUGCCUAAUACAUGCAAGUCGAGCGAAUCU
rnacentral:rRNA from 1 species